rfam:Brassica oleracea var. oleracea cultivar TO1000 chromosome C6, whole genome shotgun sequence
AAGCCAUGGUGUGGGCAUUGAGCUUGGUAGCCCUUGAAUCUCUCCCAAGCUUCAUUGAAUCCUUCCAAGUUCUUUUGUUGAAAAUUGGAAAUCUCAUUUCUCAGCUU